rnacentral:tRNA from 1 species
UAGCUCAGUCAGUUAGAGCGUGGUGCUGAUAACACCAAGGUCGCGGGUUUGAUCCCCGC